GACGAGGGACCUAGCGUUGUUCGGAAUCAUUGGGCGUAAAGCGGAUGUAGGUGGCUUUGUAAGUCAGAUGUGAAAGCCCAGGGCUCAACCCUGGAAGUGCAUUUGAUACUGCGAAGCUUGAGUGCCGGAGAGGUUACUAGAAUUCCCGGUGUAGUGGUGGAAUGCGUAGAUAUCGGGAGGAACACCAGUGGCGAAGGCGGUUGCCUGGAGCUUUGCUGACGCUGAGGCGCGAAAGCGUGGGGAGCGAUCCGG
rnacentral:rRNA from 1 species